GAUCAACCUACUUACCUGUCGUGAUAACGUCAAACAGCUCCUUUUCGCUAGGGGACAAGUCUUCUUUCUUGGCCGCACACAUUUUGACGGAUAAUGACGGCGUCCUGCUUGCUUAAAAGCCGCAAAGAUCUCAGCCGGAGUCUGACUCACUGGUGUCUGAGGACGAGGAUGACGAGGAGGAGGAGGACGAUGACGAGUCCGAGCUGGAACUGCUGCCGCUGAGGCGCGAGGGCUGCACGUGGGCCUCGGCGGGGUUGGCCUUCUCCGCUGGCAAAGUUUGGCAGGCUUCUUGGCCGAGUUGAGCUGUCCGCUGACGUCCUGGAGCCUCCUCUCCAGCUCCAGACGCUUCUCCAGGGUCAGCUCCUCUUUGGACUUGACCACACCGCCUUUCUUCACUGCUAACGAGAACACAAAAGCACAAGAACAACCGUCAUCAGGAUAAGGGAAGGUGAAAUGCAUCAUGUAAUGCAGUGGUGGUUCUCAAACAUUUUAUACUAAGGACCAUCUCGAAAAAUGUUUAGCUCUCUAAGGAUCACAAAAAUGGCCAUUUAAAUUUAGUCAAUUCAAAAAUACAGUACUUGAAGUAAAAAAAUUACUAUACAUUAAAAGUAAAACAAUGUACUGUACUGGAUUUUUUUUUUUAAAGUUGUUGAAUAGCUACAACUGAGGUGUCAAACUGGCGGCCCACCACAUCAUUUUAUGUGGCCGUCGAAAGCAAAUCAAAAUCACUAAUUGUGUUCUGGUGUAAUACCAUUGAGAUAUUUGCAAGCAUUUUUUUUUUUUUUUUUACCAAAUCCCCCUUUGAAAAUAAAUAGUUGAAAAACAUGUAUUUAUAGGCUUCUGAUUUCAAAACUGGUUACUCAUCAAUGUGUUGUGUAUACUGUAUUUACAGUAUAUGAGGUAAUCUUUCAUUUAUAUGGGUCCACAGUCAUAGCGGCCCUCCGAGGGAAGUUAUCACUGCGAUGUGGCCUGUGACAAAAAUGAGUUUGACACCCUUGAGCUACAAGAUUCAUUGUAAUAUGUUUGAUUGCAUUGACAUCCAUUCAUGUUCUGAACCACUUCUCUUCACUAGGCUCACGGGCGUGCUAACGCCUACCUCAGCUGACUUCGGGCGAGAGGUGGGGUACACACUGAACUGGUCACCAGCCAAUCGCAGGGCUCUUUGACUGCAUUUCAUUUUUACAAUGUUGUAAAUUGUAAUUGUAUUUAAUACAGUGAUUAUAUUAAAUUACCUAACAUUGAUGGCUGGGAUAGACUCUAGCAUGCCCGCGACCCUAGUGAGGAUAAGCGGAAUGGGAGCUGAAGAUGAUUUGGCGAUCGUAGUUAGCUAGCUCUGCUUUGCAGUAGUCACAUUGCACUAUUUUCUUUUCAGUGUGAAAUGAUCCCCAACUUUGGCCAUUCUGUCUUUACAUACUCAAACAUUAGUCCAUGUGGAAUAUGUUUACUUCAAAGCUUCAAGGCAGAUAUUUUGAUUCAACUUUUUAUUGUAAUUAAAUUAUUUGAGCUAUUCGAUUAAUCGUUUCAGCUUACAUGAUAUUGCUUGUUGAUUUUUGGCCCUUGUGUCUUUAUAAGCGGAUAUCUGGACUAGACAACUUUUGGAUUUUACCAACAGACUGGGAAGCAUGAACUGGAAAAGUCACAUGCUGUUUGUAAAGCCCAGCGCACAAAAAUGAAAUGUGUUGGGACCACCACCAAUUUAAAGAACCACAUCAGCCAUUUCCACCCUGACUCAGAAAAAGGGAAGAAAAUAACCCAGGCUGUGGGAGCCUUUAAAGAUUCCCCGACAUACAGGAAGUUGCUGUAUGUACCUUGGUCGGUGUAGGGCUUGCGCGGCUUCUUCCGCAGACACGUCAUGACAUAGCGCUCCAGCUCCUUCAGUGUGGACGGCUUGAGCGUCUCAAAGUCGAUUUCAAUCUCCUCGGGGUUGGUGUCGCGCAGCGAGGGCUCCCGCGACUGGAUGAUGUGCACCACGCGACCCAGCUUCUCGCCCGGAAGCUUGUUGAUGUCCAGGCUCAGCUGCCGCUUCUCGUCGUACGUCAUGGGCACAAUUUCCUCCUCCUCCUCAGAGUCGUAGUGCGGCAGCAUGGCAGCCGGCAACAGCGGGUAGAAAGGCUUCUUGGAGCUCCUGGUGGGAGGUUCAAACGGACAUUAAAUCAGUGACUUAAUGUCAGAAUGCUAAAUCCUAAUAAAUCUAGUGUAGGCAGAAUGGUGGUAGUGUUCCUCCCGCUAUAUCGCAGAUUUCGUAGUGUAAUAUUGUGCAAAAACAUGCCAGGCAGUGAUGAGGCUACUCGGGAGAGGUUCAGCGUAAUUAAUGACGCCCCUUCAGUGUAAUAGAGUACCACAUUUUGCCAGUGUAAUAUUCCAGAGAAUAAAGAAAAGAGCAGAGAAAAUAUAUGCCUCUGAGUAUUGUUCUGUGCUAUGUUUGUAUGUGUUGCUGCUCCAUGUGUGUUAAAACAGCAAUUGUUUAGGCCAUUAGGCCAUCUAUGGCAUUUGCAUUGUUACCAUUAAGCUAGUAGAAUUUGGUUAGAUGAAAUGAAAUGGUUUGGUUUAACAUUUUAAAGUUUAAACAUCCAAUGUUUACUUUUGUUUUUUUUUAUGUGUCGGUUUUACAGUAAAAAUGAACUGAGUGACAACUAAUCAGUAAAAGUAUGUAAACUUUGACUCUUAUUUGGAGAACUGUGCGAGCAUCUCUUCAUUUCCUCGAAGUGAUUAUAUUUUGGUACUUUUCACACAUUUACCAAACAGAAACGGGACCAAACAUGGCGUUUUUUGUGUCCGUGUGGUACUAACUUGCUGCUCUUGCUGCUCUUCUUAGUUUGGCUCUUCUUGAGCUGCGAUGCGCUGCCCUGUGACGCUUUGCUCUUGAGCAUUUUAGUGGGCAUGGUCCACUCCUCGGACCCCGCUCGGUUCUUGGCUGCGCGACUGCGCUUGUCUGGCUUCCUGUGCUUCUUCUUCUCCUUCUUGUCCUUCUUUUCACGCUUCUUCUUGGGCUUGACGAUGGGGCCCUGGGAGAGCGCAGUCAGCUGCUCAUGCACAGCUCGAAGCUGUGUGGUGAAAAAGUUAAUGAGUGAUGAAAAAUGUAUAUGAUUCCUGUACAUUCUCACAUCUGGGACUUGCUUGAUACUGACUAAUAACUGAUAAGACUGCUGAUUAUGUUUGGGGCGAUACAGUGAACCCCCAGUAUGUCGUUGCAAUCUUUCAGCUUUUUAAAGUAUACAGGCAAGUUCAAAUUUAGAGUUGCACUGAAACAUGCCGGGCAGCACUGAGGUCUACUGGCAGACAUGCAGCGAAGAGGAGGCAGAGAAGGCUCCCAACUAAUCUCCAAUAAUAGUCUUUCCUGCAGAGCAGAGAGAAUAUAUGGAGACUUCAAAGGCAAAAGCAGACAUCUCCAUUUGUUGGUGAAUAGUAUCCAUAUGCCCAAUACAGGUUGUUUGUGAAAUAGAAAAAAAGAUGAAAAAAGGCUUUUAAGUCUAAAUUCUACAUAUGCCUGUGAGUAUUGUUAUGCUGUUUCUAUGUGUUGCUGCCCCGUGUGUGUUAAAGAAGCAGCCGUUUGAAAGUUUGUGUAAUUACUGUAACAUCUAUGCUAAUUUCUGUUAGGUCUAUGGAGUUUUGCAUUAUAUGUUAGCAUUAAGCUGGCAGACUUUCAUUAGAUGGUUUGGUUAAAUAUUUUUGUGUUUAAAUAUACAGUGUUUCUAUUUCU